ensembl:lincRNA
CAAGCCUACUCCCUAAGCUUGGGAGUGUUCUUGGUGGAAGCACAGAGCAUUCUGGGUAACCACCGAUUCAUACCGAUUCACUAUAGAGGAAUUAUGUAUCUGGACUGAUGGCUUUGGUGAAAAAUAAUGUCUCUGAUCUCUAUGUCUAAAAACUUACCUGCAAGCUUUGACUGUUUCCCUCCGUCACAUUUGCAGAGCCCUGUCCCAAACAAUUGAGCCUGUAUUUCUUCUUUCCAGAGCAGCAGCUUGCUGAUGCAUGUGAUUGCCAGGCAUGGGGCUGGACCCCUGCCCAGGAGUGGCAAGGACAGGUACCCAGGCCACAUAUGACUGUCGUGCAGCUGAUGUACUUGGCUUGCUACCACCGAUAGUGAUCAUUCUAAGAUGCAAAACAAUGAACACACUCAAGCUGAUUUUGGAUUUGACCAUACACAUUUCUCAGAAGAGGGAGCUUUCCUGGAGAAGGUGAAGAAAGAGAAGGAUAUUUGGCAGUGCUGAUUGCAGCUCGCUCUAUGAGGACAUAUUCUCCUCAUCCACAGAAGCCCUUUUCAAACAUUACUAAGAAGUCUGAUAAGAAGAAAAAACAUCCACUGAUGGGUUCUCAGAAAGAAAGCAUUAGAUUUAACUACAGGGCAAUACUGCCCUGAUUACCACAGGCCCAGCUGACGGCAAGGUUGCCAGGCAGCUCUCGUCCUGCCAAGAAUGGUGGUGGAAUGAAGCAAGCAUGUGGUUUGUAUUACCAUUUUUCAGCUUUUUAAGGUUUAGAAAAGAGAACGUCACCAACAAUG